GGGGAAAUAGCUCAGGAGUAGAGCGCUCCCUUAGCAUGGGAGAGGGCUGGGGUUCGAUUCCCCAUAUUUCCA
rnacentral:tRNA from 1 species